GCAUUGAAAGUGAGAGUUCGAGGAAUACAAACUGAUGGAUCCAUGGCCUAAAACAUGGUCACUGGAUCGGCUUGUUUUUCUCCAAUAUCUCACCUUCAGUUC
rnacentral:pre_miRNA from 1 species